AUAAAAGGGAGCGCACACACGCCCAUGCCACUCCUCGCUGCGUUGAGGUCGAAACGCACCAGCAUGAAGGCUUUCGUCGUCGCUCUCCUCAUCAGCGUUGUGGCUCUGGCGCUUGGCGUCGAUGAAGAGACGCCGGUGACGAUCGAGUGGCCACCGCGUCCCCGGACCUGCGCCGAAGGCGAAACGUGGAAGCAGUGCGUGAGCGGCAGCUGCGCCGAGGCCACUUGCGCUCGGCCACAGGUGGGACCGCAGUGCACCGCCGACUGCCGCUACGGCUGUUACUGCGCUGACGGUUUCUACCGGAACGAGCGGAAGGUGUGCGUCACCCGCGACAAGUGCCCGUAGCAGUGGUCGCCGAGCAAGAUAUCGAGCUUAUGGGAUCACCAUGAACUAUGUCUACCCCUGCCAAUUUCAAAUGAAGUUUCCAUUAAACAACAAGC